rnacentral:rRNA from 1 species
UUCACGGAGAGUUUGAUCCUGGCUCAGGACGAACGCUGGCGGCGCGCUUAACACAUGCAAGUCGAGCGACGAACCAGCCCUUCGGGGCUGGGGAAAGCGGCGAACGGGUGAGUAA